UAUGCCUGGAUCAACUAUCACUUGAACCUUGCCCAUUCGAUAACUUGAAGUGUUUGGAGAUAAGCAUGGUGUCCCAGAAGCAAAAUGACCAUAUACCUAGAGUACCCACUCAAGUCAGAAGCUACUUUCUUGAGAAUUCUCCCAGUGCAACAGUAAUCAUGAAUUUACCUCAGGUGCCACAGAAGAGAUCAAGGCAGCAGGAAGAUGAUGAGACAAUGGCUAAGAAGGUGGCCAAAUUGAAGACAGAAAAGAAGCAACCAGAGACUGCGGCCCAAGGGAAGAGAUUGUUGUAGGCAAAGACUGAACCUCCUUCUCCAAGACUGUCAUCUAUUCAUCAGAUGCCCACAUCCUCAAGUGUUGAUGGGUCAGGAAGCAACAUGGAUAUUCAGCGUUCAAACUAAGAGAUAUUUCAAUGCUUUUCUUUAAUGUGUGGGCUUG